UACAGAGGUCUCGAGCGUUAGGCGGAAUCACUGGGCUUAAAGCGUGUGUAGGUGGAUGCCUAAGUACCUUGUGAAAUCCCACGGCUUAACCGUGGAACUGCUUGGUAUACUGGGUGUCUUGAGUCACUCAGGGGCGAGCGGAACAAAUGGUGGAGCGGUGAAAUGCGUAGAUAUCAUUUGGAACGCCAACGGUGAAAACAGGUCGCUGGGGCUGUGCUGACGCUGAGACACGAAAGCCAGGGGAGCGAACGGG
rnacentral:rRNA from 1 species